rnacentral:pre_miRNA from 1 species
AUCACCUCCGGAUCUUGAUAAAAUGCAGAUUCUGAUUCAGUAAACCCCAGGGGGGCCUGAGAUUCUGCAUUUCUAACGAGCUCCUAAGUGAUGCCAA